GUGAGUGGUUAUUGAGCCUGCUCAGAGACGAAGACGCCGCUCUGCAUCACUCGGCUGUGUCACUGCACAGCUCUCACUGGAACUGCAGGACAGAGUAAAGCUCAAAGCACCAAAAGGCUGGAGCCACAGAGGAUUGUGGGUACUGUAGUCUUGCAGGUCAACGUUUGUGUCGCAAUGAAGAUGCAUACAGGGGAUUCGAGGGCGGUGAAAGGCAGCAGCUGUGUUCUUCAUCCUGGGGGGGCGUUGGAGGGUAUUUCCUGGGGCAGUUUCUGUGUGUGGCUGCAGCUCGAGGCUCUGCAGCUGUUUUCAGUGUGCGCGGCCUGAUUGUUGACUCUCAGUCUGAAGGUCACGGCGUGAUGCCGCCGGUCAGUGCACUGAAACUCAGCUGACUACCUCCAACCGGCCGCUGUGAUUGGCUGAGCCGGCUGUGUUACACAGACAGAGGAAGAGGCUGCAGGUAUUUGGUCUUCGCCACAGACGUAGAAGGAAAGGAGCAGACAGGAAAAACCAGCAGCUCCGUGCAUGAAAACUCUGACCAGGCCUCGGGCCUCAGACGGGGACCGGGCUGUUAUGUGGAGUAAAAGCGACAGACGCAGCGUGGGGUGGAAGCUGAGCUCCACCUGACCUCUGACCUCUCCAGGACCAUGCCGUCACCUCUCAGCUCAUCUCAGUCUGACCCAUCGGGACUCAAACGUCUCUGUUUGUGGCUCCAUCGCUGCUCCUCCCCUCCUCCUCCUCCUCUCCCCGUCAGCUGCGGCGACCUCUGCCCUCUGUCAGCAUCAUGCCGUCUCCCCCUGCUGGUGGCCCUGCUGCUCUGCGGCCUGCUGCUGAUGGUGCUGCUGCUGCUGUGGAACUACCACUGUGUGUUCAUCUCACGCCUCUGCUCCCCCCCGGGGGAGGAGGAGGGGGAUGUGGGGGAGAUGGGCUUGUGACCUCUGACUGUGUCAUUAAUGAUGGUGAUGGUGAUGAUGAUGAUGAUGAUGACGACGGCUCGGGAUGCUUUUCAGUUUUGAUAAAAAUGUAACAAUCAAAAUAAAAAAUCUUAAACGUGCCGAACUCAAAGGUUCCUUUUCUGAAUCUCGCAAACCGCCUCUUCUGUUCAUAUGAAGGGGCGUGGCCUUUACACGAUGGAACAUGAUGAAUGGUGUAACAGCCACCGGGGGGCGAUCCAAAUACGUCUCCCAUUAAUGAGUGGUGUUUUUACUGAUGUGCAUCUGAAGCCAGCGCGUACUUCCUGUUUCUGUGGCGGGCGUUCAUGUCAAACGCGUUAGUAAUGAUGAGGUCGUCAGAUCACUGCGCACUGCAUAGAAGGGGGAUUCAAAGUUCCUGUUCAGGAUGAGCAGCCAAUCAGAAUAAAGUUGCUCUGAAUGAGGGAGGAGCUAAAAAGCUUGCUUUAGCAGCUGCUGCAUGAAGAGAAGUAAAAACUCCUCCAUGCUGGUUUUCAGGACUGAUCACGUCCCGCAGGUUAAACACACCUGUGCCCCGUCCUCAGGCUGUAACACGCACACCUCCUCAGGUAAAGACCAGGCUCACAUACACACACAGUGCGAGAGCACGAGAGUGUAAAAAAAGCCUGCAGACACGUCAUUUUAAACCCUCCAUUACGGUUCUAUUCCUGUCUGCCAGCAGGGCGCCACGCCCAAAACCUCCACCACCGCCGCUGAUUUAUUUCCAGAGUCGCUUUGGUGCUGCUGAGGAGCCAAUCCAACACGUUUACUCAGGAACUGCUGCUGAAUGACACCUGAAUCAUAUUCACCCCCACUGCGACCUCUGAUGCCCCAGCAGGUCCCGGGGUUCUCCUGGACCUCCUGGAGGACCCUGGGAGCCUCCACUCUGUAAAGCCCAG
ensembl:lncRNA